GUUGAGAAAAGUAGGGGACAAAUUGCAACAGGAAUUGAGUGUUGCAUGAGAGAUUAUGGCAUAUCAACAGAAGAGGCAAUGACUAAAUUUCAAGAAAUGGCUGAGGCAGCAUGGAAGGAUCUUAAUGAAGGACUUCUUAGGCCCACUCCUGUCUCUACGGAGUUUUUAUCUCGUAUUCUCAAUCUUGCACGUAUCGUUGAGGUUACAUAUAUACACAAUCUAGAUGGAUACACUCAUCCGGAGAAAGUCUUAAAACCUCACAUUAAUGCGCUAGUUGUGGACUCCAUCGAAAUUUGAGCUGCUCAUCUUCCCAAACUUCGUUCUUAUUUGAUUUGCUGAGAAAGUAAAUUUAUAUACAGUGUUUUAUUUGUAUCAUGUUGUAUAAAGUUGUUAGGAAGCUGCUUUUGCUGUAAGGUUGCAUGCCUUUAGUACUUUGGAUUUGGGUUUCAAAUAUUUUGUUCUGUGAUGUUAUCUAGUUUCCAAUUAUAUUUAUGGAUAUGUUUUUGAUUACUUAUGACAUUUAAUCAAUUGCUAUACAUGUUGAUGCUUUGUCCUGGUUAACGAAUGUUGAUAAUAGAAGGCAUAAGUACGGUUGGCUCCGUUGGAAUUGGAAAAAACGUCAAUAUUUCUUAUUUGUUAUGAAAUAAUAUAAGAACAAGAACAAGAACAAUAGAGAGAAAAGUAGAGAGAGGAGUAUUCUUAUUGAUAGUUGGGGAUGGUUUACAAUGGAAUAGAACCCCUAUAUUUAUAGGGAGGUGGUGACUUAGCCACCAAGUAGUAAACCCUAGAAUCUCUCUAAAUAUAGACAACUCCUGUCUCUACGGAGUUUUUAUCUCGUAUUCUCAAUCUUGCACGUAUUGUUGAGGUUACAUAUAUCCACAAUCUAGAUGGAUACACUCAUCCGGAAAAAGUUUUAAAACCUCACAUUAUUGCCUUGCUUGUGGAUUCUAUUGAAGUUUAGACGGCAUUUGUCGCUGGUCAUGGAGCUACAGGACUUCAUUCUCCUUUGUUGAAAGAACUAAAUGUAUUUAUUUAAAUUUAUCGUGCUGUAUAAUGUUGCUAAGCAACUGCCUUUUGUAAUUGAGCGAUGCACUUCCCAUCAGGUUCCUUAAUAUUAACUUGAAUAGAAUAAAUUGUCCCCAGACAAGAAUUCAAUAUUGAGAUAUUAAUUUGACGAGCACAGCUGCCAAACAAGAUGUAAAGCUCUGCAAGUUUUGAAUAUUAUUUUGCUCUAAUUAAAUCUUAAUGACAUAAUUAGGGUACCGUGAGAGUCUAAGCACCUACUUGGACUAAAUGAAGUGUUUAAAGAGUAAAAUUAUGCCAAAAAUGAAGCUGGCAAAGAUCGAGGUAAUCAUAAG
rnacentral:lncRNA from 1 species